rnacentral:rRNA from 1 species
GGUCAAGUUAUUAAGGGUGCAGGGCGGAUGCCUUGGCACUAGGAGCCGAUGAAGGACGUGAUAAGCUGCGAUAAGCUUCGGGGAGUUGCACGUAAACUUUGAUCCGAAGAUUUCCGAAUGAGGAAACUCACUUAGAGUAAUGUCUAAGUAUCAUUAAGUGAAUACAUAGCUUAAUGAGGGGAACUCAGGGAACUGAAACAUCUAAGUACCUGAAGGAAGAGAAAGAAAUUCGAUUCCGUAAGUAGCGGCGAGCGAACGCGGAUUAGCCCAAACCAAUAAAGUUUUCUUUAUUGGGGUUGCGGACAUAUCAUAACGAAGAGGUAUCGUAAUUGAAGAGGUUUGGAAAGACCUACCACAGAAGGUAAUAGUCCUGUAUGUUAAACGAGAAGACUUUAGAUAUGAUCCAGAGUACCACGGGACACGUGAAACCCUGUGGGAAGCAGGAGGGACCACCCUCCAAGGCUAAAUACUACCUAGUGACCGAUAGCGUAUAGUACCGUGAGGGAAAGGUGAAAAGAACCCCGGGAGGGGAGUGAAAUAGAACCUGAAACCCUGCACUUACAAGCUGUGGAAGCACAUUUCUUGUGUGACCGCGUACUUUUUGUAGAACGGGCCAACGAGUUACGUUAAGUAGCAAGGUUAAGCACUUAAGGUGUGGAGCCGUAGCGAAAGCGAGUUUUAACUGAGCGUUCAGUUACUUGACGUAGACCCGAAACCGGGCGACCUACCCAUGAGCAGGAUGAAGCGAAAGUAAAAUUUCGUGGAGGUCCGAACCCACGAGCGUUGAAAAGCUCGGGGAUGACUUGUGGGUAGCGGUGAAAUUCCAAUCGAGCCCGGAGAUAGCUGGUUCUCCCCGAAAUAGCUUUAGGGCUAGCCUCAAGGUGAGAGAUACGGAGGUAGAGCACUGAAUGUCCUAGGGGGUAUUGCACCUACCGAAGACUAUCAAACUCCGAAUGCCGUCAUCUUAUACUUGGGAGUCAGACUGUGGGUGAUAAGAUUCAUAGUCGAAAGGGCAACAGCCCAGAUCGUCAGCUAAGGUCCCUAAAUGUAAGUUAAGUGGUAAAGGAUGUGGGAUUGCACAGACAACCAGGAUGUUGGCUUAGAAGCAGCCACUCAUUCAAAGAGUGCGUAAUAGCUCACUGGUCGAGUGAUCCUGCGCCGAAGAUUUCCGGGGCUAAAACUUACUACCGAAGCUACGGCAUCAGUAAUGAUGGGUAGGGGAGCUUCCCAUACGGGUUGAAGCAUGACCGUAAGGACAUGUGGACAGUAUGGGAGUGAGAAUGUUGGCAUGAGUAGCGAGAUGUGGGUGAGAAUCCCACAGGCCGUAAACCCAAGGUUUCCAGGGGAAGGUUCGUCCGCCCUGGGUUAGUCGGGACCUAAGCUGAGGCCGAAAGGCGUAGGUGAUGGACAACAGGUUGAUAUUCCUGUAC